AGUUUGACCUCAAAUCAGGUAGGAUUACCCGCUGAACUUAA
rnacentral:rRNA from 3 species